CCUAGGAUAAAUGCUAGCAGACUUCAUUAGGCCUGAGAACAUCCUGCUUGACACUCAAAUCCCAGGUCACACCUGAGGCUCUUGGAACUGAAUUCAGAUUGAACAGAAAAUUCUGUCCCUGUGAGAGAUUCCCACUGUAGAGCCCAGUAUCUUCCUGCUAAGUUAUCAUGAUUUGAUUCCUCCAAUCAUAGCAUAGGUCAUUUCUGAGAAGAGCAAACCUGCCAAGCCAAGGGGAACUUUGGUUCAGUUAAUUCUAUCCAGAGCCACACCUACGCCUCUGGAGCUGCAUUUGGAUCCCAAAGUCCCCUGUGACCCAGGGACAAGCAGAGGCAGAGGCAAGACCCAGCUCCCUGUCAACACGUUGCGUCAGCCUUCAGUGCAUCAUCUGAA
rnacentral:lncRNA from 1 species